rnacentral:rRNA from 1 species
AUGGCUAGAAACAUAACAGAGCAAGACGACUCACGUACGCGUCACUCGGCGAGGCUGGCGAGCUUCUUGGGCUCCAUGAAGUGGGAGAGGACGGAGACGGCGAUGUCGAUGCGCUUCACGGCGAGCGAUCCUGCACGCGCAGUACAUGUAGUCGAGCGACUUGCCCACGUCGCCGCCGCCGCCUCUGGCUGCCUGACGGGGCUUGCUGGAGCCGGACUUGGCGGUGGCGGUGGUGUCCGGGUCGUCGGAGAGGUCGACCUUGGCAAGGGCCUCAGUGGCGGCCACAACCGGGUCCGGGUCGUCCCUGUCGGGGCUGCUGUCCGGCGAGGAGGUGGAGGAGUCGGGGGUCUUUCCGGGGACGGGGGCCUUGCCUCUGGCGAGGCACUCAGCGCGGCGCGGGAUGAGGUGCUCCUCCAACAACUUGAUGGCCAGGACGGCGGCCAUGACGCGGUCGAGGGCAUGGGCCUGGGAUCUGGGGCGGACCAGGAACUGUUGCGCGAGCAUCGCAUCGUGGCGUGGGCGUCGGCGUACGCGUCAGAGGUUGGAGGCGAGCUCGCCGAGAGUGGCGUCCGCGUCCGCAGGGGUGGCGGUGGGGGCGCCGUCGUCGGCUGGAGGUCCUGCAUGCGGUGCUGGAGUUGCAGGAGGCGGUCGCGGGUGUCCUGCGGGUUGAAAACAAGUAAUGGCAGGGGGCAAAAUGCAAAACGUUCGGUGUUGCGCAGCUCGGCCGAGCUGGCUCCACUUGGCAGCUGUUGAUUGGCUCAGGACCAAAUUUGCAUCUUGAGGAUAAGUUGGAGGACCAAAUAAUCUACACCAAACCAUCACAUGCAAAACAAGUUGAAGGACCUGCAGUGCUAUUACCUCUUGGAAAAAUAACUGCCACAUGGACAUGUUGACUGGGUCUUCAUCUUCCUUCUCCCCUCACUCUCUCUCUCUCUCUCACAUUACAUCAAACACUUCGUCGCACUGUCGCGAACCAUGGUGCCCUCCCCGCGCCAGGUCACGGGAGCAGCCGGAAGCCCCCCAUCCCGAAGGGCCCGUCCGUGCGCGCGCCGCCAGGACUACCUUCCACCUCGGCGCCGACAAGAGCAGCUCCAUGGCGUUCUUGAGGAGGAGGAGCUCCAUGGCGUCGGAGCAGCGGCGUCCCGAGCAGCUCCAUGGCGACCUCUGUCAAGGCCUAGGUUGGAGAGGCCCCGAGCGAACCCUCGAUCUAGCCAUGGCCGUGGCGGAUCUGGGACCAGCUCGCUCCCUUGAUCUCCCUCCCUCUGCUACUGCUCCUGCCGCGACAGCACGCGGAACGCCGCGGCUGGACGGUGGGGGACCAUGCCGCCGCUGCCUCUGCUCGCAGAUGCACAUGAUGUGUUUGAUGUAAUGUGUGUUAGAGAGUGAGGGGAGGAGGAAGAAGUCCUGGUCAACAUGCCCAUGUGGCAGUUUUUUUUCUUCAACUCAGCCUGAUGGGCGGGCCGAACAGUUCGUGACGUCAGCAAAGCGCUUAGCAUUUACAGUUAGUGUUUUUUGCCACUGUUUUGGCCGGUGUAAAGUGGUGUUUUUCUGCUAAUCGCGCCGUUAUUAUGGUGGUUCUGUGCAUUUUACUCGGGCAUGUUUGUAGGAUAUUGCAGGUCAUUGGCUGAAUUCUCUGCUUUCGUUUCAUGAAUUCAGGGGAAGAUGAAGAUCAGAACUGAGCGAGGACUGGGGGGUUGCUAAGAGAAGCGUUGAGAUGGGGUUCAAACCACUGGAGUGGUACUGUCAGCCAGUGAAGGAUGGGGCAUGGUCUCAUGCCGUCGAAAGCGCGUUUGGCGCAUACACACCCUGCGGCAUUGACACCAUGGUGGUGUGCAUCUCGUACCUCACACUUUUUGGCGUUUGCUUCUAUCGGACAUGGAGGACGACGAAAGACUACAAGGUGCAGAGGUACAAGUUACGCUCGCCGUACUUCAACUAUCUGCUUGGGCUGCUUGUUGUGUACUGCAUAGCAGAGCCGCUGUACAGGAUUGCCACCGGUACCUCCAUCACAAACUUGGAUGGGCAGUCUGGCCUUGCUCCAUUUGAGAUUACUUCACUGGUCAUCGAGUCUGCUGCCUGGUGCUGUAUGCUUAUAAUGCUAUUGCUGGAGACAAAAAUUUACAUCACCGAAUUAAGAUGGUACAUCCGGUUUGUGGUCAUAUAUGUAUUGGUUGGGAAAGCUGCUAUGUUCAAUCUUGUGCUUCCAGUGAGGCAGUACUACAGUUCAAGUUCAAUAUUCUACCUAUACUGCAGCGAGAUAAUAUGCCAGUGCAUUUUUGGAAUUCUCAUGCUGGUGUAUCUGCCUAGCUUGGAUCCCUACCCGGGUUAUACUCCAAUCAGGAGUGAGGUGCUUGUUGAUAAUACUGAUUAUGAACCUCUGCCAGGUGGAGAGCAGAUUUGCCCCGAAAGGCAUGCGAAUAUAUUUUCCUGGAUAUUCUUUUCAUGGGUGACUCCUCUAAUGCAACAAGGAUACAGAAGGCCCAUCACUGAUAAUGAUAUUUGGAAACUAGAUAAUUGGGAUGAGACAGAAACAUUGUAUAGCCGAUUUCAGAAAUGCUGGAACGAUGAACUUCAAAAACCAAAACCUUGGCUGCUACGAGCUCUCCAUAGUAGCCUCGGUGGAAGGUUCUGGCUAGGAGGAUUUUUUAAGAUUGGCAAUGAUGCUUCUCAAUUUGUUGGCCCAACCGUAUUGAGCCUCUUGUUGGAGUCUAUGCAAAAAGGCAAUCCUUCUUGGAAUGGGUACAUCUAUGCUUUCUCAAUCUUUGCUGGAGUGUUACUGGGAGUUCUUGCUGAAGCACAGUACUUUCAGAAUGUCACGCGGGCUGGUUUCAGAUUGAGGUCUACUUUGAUUGCUGCUGUUUUCCGUAAGUCCUUGCGACUGACAAAUGAUAGUCGCAAGAAGUUUGCUUCUGGAAGGAUUACAAAUUUGAUUUCAACCGACGCGGAGUCCCUUCAGCAAGUAUGCCAGCAACUUCACAAUCUGUGGUCAGCUCCUUUUCGCAUUGUUAUUGCCAUGGUCCUGCUAUAUGCACAACUAGGUCCUGCAGCACUUGUCGGUGCCAUCAUGCUGGCUCUUUUGUUCCCAAUUCAGACAGUUAUCAUAAGCAAAAUGGAAAAACUUACCAAGGAAGGGUUGCAAAGGACUGACAGACGAAUCAGUCUCAUGAAUGAAAUAUUAGCUGCGAUGGAUACAGUCAAAUGUUACGCUUGGGAGCAAAGUUUCCAGUCAAAGGUGCAGGACAUCCGUGACGAUGAGCUUUCCUGGUUUCGCAGUGCUCAAUUGCUUGAUGCGCUAAAUAGCUUUAUCCUCAACAGUAUUCCUGUCGUUGUCACGGUGGUUUCGUUUGGUGUUUACUCUCUGAUGGGGGGUGAGUUGACAGCAGCAAAGGCGUUUACCUCUCUUUCACUAUUUGCAGUGUUAAGGUUCCCACUUUUUUUGCUGCCAAAUCUGAUAACUCAGGCUGUUAACAGUAAGAUUUCAUUGAAACGACUGGAAGAUCUCCUCUUGGCUGAUGAGAAGAAUACUUCUGCCAAAUCCACCUAUUGAUCCUGAGCUUCCAGCCAUUUCUAUCAAGAAUGGAAACUUUUCAUGGGAAUUGCAGGCUGAGCGACCAACACUAUCAAAUAUCAAUCUGGACGUGCCUGUCGGCAGUUUAGUUGCAAUAGUAGGAAGCACCGGGGAGGGGAAAACUUCUCUUAUUUCUGCAAUGCUUGGUGAAAUACCACCAGUAUCAGGGUCAGAUACCUCAGUGGUCAUUCAUGGAUCGGUGGCUUAUGUUCCUCAAGUUUCAUGGAUCUUCAAUGCUACCGUACGGGAUAACAUAUUGUUUGGGUCUCCAUUCCAACCUCCAAGCUAUGGGAGAGCAAUAGAUGCUACUUCAUUACGACAUGACCUUGACCUACUCCCAGGUGGUGAUCUCACAGAGAUUGGAGAAAGGGGAGUUAAUAUUAGUGGGGGGCAAAAACAACGAGUUCUAAUGGCAAGAGCUGUUUAUACUGAUUCAGAUGUUUACCUAUUUGAUGAUCCACUGAGUGCAUUAGAUGCCCAUGUUGGUCGACAGGUAUUUGAUAAAUGUAUCAAAGAAGAGCUACGACAUAAAACUCGGGUCCUUGUUACUAAUCAGCUGCAUUUUCUGCCAUACGUGGAUAAAAUUCUGCUGAUCCAUGAUGGAGUAAUUAAAGAGGAGGGUACAUUUGAUGAACUUAGUAACUCUGGGGAGCAGUUCAAAAAACUUAUGGAAAAUGCUGGAAAGAUGGAGGAACAAACAGAAGAGAAACAAGACGAAAGCAAAUCACAGGACGAGAUAAAACACACUGAAAAUGGGGGCGUUGUAAUAGCUGAUGGUGGUCCGCAAAAGAGCCAGGAUAGUUCAAGUAAAACAAAACAGGGAAAAUCUGGUCUUAUUAAGCAAGAGGAACAUGAAACUGGAGUUGUCAGUACAAAGGUCCUUUCACGCUACAAAAAUGCAAUGGGGGGUAUUUGGGCGGUGUCCGUUCUCUUCUUGUGCUAUACACUGACUGAAACUCUACGGAUUUCAAGUAGCACAUGGUUGAGCAUUUGGACUGAUGUGGGUUCUCUGAAAAUCCAUGGCCCUGGUUACUACAACUUAAUCUUUGGCAUUCUUUCUUUUGGGCAGGUUUUAGUCACUCUCACGAAUUCUUACUGGCUGAUCACGUCAAGUCUUCGAGCAGCCAAGAGGUUGCAUGACUACAUGCUCCGGUCUAUAUUAAGAGCUCCCAUGGUAUUUUUUCAUACCAAUCCACUUGGACGGAUCAUCAACAGAUUUUCGAAGGAUUUGGGUGACAUUGACAGGAAUCUUGCUGUCUUUGUCAACUUGUUUAUGGCACAAAUAUCUCAGUUGCUCUCAACAUUUGUUUUCAUUGGUGUUGUCGGCACUAUGUCUCUUUGGGCUAUCAUGCCACUUCUCAUUUUAUUUUAUGCAGCCUACCUUUAUUACCAGACUACAUCAUGUGAGGUAAAGCGCAUGGAUUCUAUUACUAGGUCUCCUGUGUAUGCCCAAUUUUCAGAGGCAUUAAAUGGUCUGUCGACAAUCCGUGCCUCAAAGCCUAUGAUAGAAUGUCAAACAUCAAUGGGAAAUCAAUGGACAACAACAUCAGGUUCACACUCGUGAACCUGAGUUCAAAUAGAUGGCUAGCCAUCCGGCUGGAAACACUGGGUGGCAUCAUGAUAUGGUUCACCGCAACAUUUGCUGUGAUGCAAAACCAAAGAGCAGAGAAUCAGAAGGCCUUUGCUUCCAUGAUGGGUCUUCUUCUUACUUAUACCCUCAAUAUCACCAAUCUGCUCACAGCUGUUCUUCGUCUUGCUAGUCUUGCUGAAAAUAGUAUGAAUGCGGUUCAACGGGUAGGAACAUACAUCGAGUUGCCUUCUGAGGCUCCUCCUGUCAUUGAGGAUAACAGGCCACCUCCUGGUUGGCCAUCAUCUGGUAUCAUCAAGUUUGAAGAUGUUGUGCUUCGGUACCGACCAGAACUUCCACCUGUUCUUCAUGGAAUAUCAUUCAUUGUUAAUGGAAGUGAGAAGGUAGGAAUAGUUGGCAGAACAGGUGCUGGUAAAUCUAGCAUGCUUAAUGCUCUGUUCCGCAUCGUGGAACUGGAGCGUGGGAGAAUAUUGAUUGAUGAUUGUGAUACAUCUAAGUUUGGAAUUUGGGAUCUGCGGAAAGUGUUAGGAAUAAUACCACAGGCACCAGUCCUGUUUUCAGGUACUAUUCGAUUUAAUCUGGAUCCUUUCAGCGAGCAUAAUGAUGCGGAUCUCUGGGAGGCUCUUGAAAGGGCUCAUCUAAAAGAUGUCAUAAGGAGGAAUGCUCUAGGACUAGAUGCUGAGGUUUCUGAGGCCGGUGAAAAUUUUAGCGUUGGACAGCGGCAGUUGCUGAGUUUAGCUUGUGCAUUGCUACGAAGGGCAAAGAUACUUGUUCUUGAUGAGGCAACAGCAGCAGUUGAUGUUCAAACUGAUGCUCUUAUACAGAAGACAAUCAGAGAAGAAUUCAAGAGUUGUACAAUGCUUAUAAUCGCUCACCGUUUGAAUACCAUCAUCGACUGUGACAGGUUGCUUAUUCUAAGUUCUGGGAAGAUUUCGGAAUUUGACACCCCCGAGAAUCUUGUGAGCAACGAGGGAAGUGCUUUCUCCAAGAUGGUUCAGAGUACAGGACCUAGCAAUGCAGAGUAUCUUAAGUCUCUUGUGCUUGGCAAUGGUGAAGAGCGGCUGCGAAAGGAAGAAAGUAAGUUGCAAGAUAUUCAGAGGGAAUGGGCUGCGUCUAACCGAUGGGCUGUCGCUGCCCAGUUUGCGCUUGCUGCUAGCCUCGCGUCAUCCCACAGUGACCUCCUCUCAUUGGAGGCUGCGGACGGAAACAACAUCCUCAGGAAAACAAGGGAUGCAGUAAUCACCCUGCACAGCGUCCUUGAAGGGAAGCACAAUACUGAAAUCGAGGAAUCACUCGCCGAGUAUGAGGUUCCGCUUCCGCCUGAUAGGUGGUGGUCGUCACUUUACAAAGUCAUCCAAGGCCUUGCCACGAUGAGCAAACUGGGUCGCAACCGUCUACGGCAACCUGGUUACAGUUUUGAAAACCACGGCUCAUCGUCUAUUGACUGGGAUCAAAUUUAGGUGUAGGAAACUGCAUUGCAGCACCACUGAAUCCCUGGAACCUGCGUUCGUGGAAUAGUUUGAAGGCGUGCAGUUAUUAACCAUCUUCUUACGAAACCUUUUAUCCCAAACAAGUUGGGGUAGGCUAGAUAUGAAACCCUUUCACGAGGACUUCCCAGGAGGUCACCCAUCCUAGUACUACUCUCGCCCAAAUGGGUUUCAUACCCAAAAGACUGGCUAGUUUUUACGUUGGCUCGCCAAGCCUAUCACAACCCUUAGAUAUGAAACCCUUUCACGAGGACUUCCUAGGAGGUCACCCAUCCUAGUACUAUUCUCGCUCAAAUGGGUUUCAUACCUAUGGGACUUGCUAGUUUUUACGUUGGCUCGUCAAGCCUAUCACAACCCUCCUCCUUUACCCGGGCUUGGGACCGGCUAUGCCUAGAAGACAUAGGCGGAGUUUGCAGUUAUUAACCAUGGUCGGUUUAAUUUUCUACAGUCUUGUAGAACGUUUUGUGUCCAGUACAUUGUGUCCUUGUUAGAAACAAUGGGCUAGGCCCAUAUAAAAUUCCUGAAAUCUCAAAAAAGAAGGCUCGUGGAUAAAAGUUUAGUCUCACCCUGGAAUUUGAGAAGACGUGAGACCUCUUUAUAUCACUAGUGCAGAAAUGCCUACUAGCGGCGUUCGGAGAACAUCGUUAGCGGUGCUUAGGUCCAACGCCACUAGUAUGACGCAAGUGAUGAGGGUUCACUAGCGGUGUCAAGACCCGACGCCACUAACUGACUGCACAUUACCUUCGUCGGUACUCAACAUCCUGCUAAAUGCUAUAGGUAAAGAAAAUAGUAGUGGCGUUUAUACUGUUCGAGCGCUGGUAAUCAAUGAUUAAAUAGUGGCAUUCUGCUUCUUUCCGGCGCCGCUAGUAAAUGCUGACGGUUUUACAAAAAAAGAUGUUGCCCAGGCAAUUUUUUCUGUAAUUAGACACAUGCUAUUAUACAUAACCUAAAGCAAUGACAAGUAAAUCUUAGUUGUGC